rnacentral:lncRNA from 1 species
UAUGCAUGCAGCACGUUGUCUAAAUCCGCGUACGUGCUAAGCCACGAUCUGCAAGAUCACGUCGGCGAUGAGCAGUGUUUGAUCGUUGGAGCACUUGCAAUACUAGCUUGUGGGUCAGUGUUUGUAGGCUCCAAAGGGUUCAACUCAGUUUCAUUCAAGAAAAGAAGAACAAAAAAGAAUGAAAAAGAUGGCUGCGAGACAGGGCUAGAGGGGACAGCGUCUGAUACACGAGGGGAGCUUAACAAAAACUUGUUGAUGAAAGGAACUUGUCCCGAGUUUCAGGACAAGCCUAAGAAUAUGUCCCUUAAAGCAGCAGCAAACAUGUUCAGACGUGAUUAG